GACCGUUUCACUACGGAAGGGCUGUAUUUAUUGGAUACCAAAACCAUCCUUCCCUCGGGAAGUUUUGUUUGAUGAUUCACAAUAACUGAUCGGAUCGCCACUGUGGUGGCGACAGGUCAUUCAACAUUCUGCCCUAUCAGCUUUCGAUGGUUGUGUAGUGGACAACCAUGGCCAUAACGGGUAACGGAGAAUCAGGGUUCGAUUCCGGAGAAGGAGCUUGAGAAUUGGCUACUACAUCUAAGGAAGGCAGCAGGCGCGCAAAUUACCCAAUCCCGAUUCGGGGAGGUAGUGACAAAAAAUAACAAUACCGGGCCUUUUUGGGCUUGGUAAUUGGAAUGAGGGAGAGUUAAACGGACCAUCGAGUAUCCAUUGGAGGGCAAGUCUGGUGCCAGCAGCUGCGGUAAUACCAGCUCCAAUAGCGUAUAUUAAAGUUGUUGCAGUUAAAAAGCUCGUAGUUGGACUUGUGUGCGCUGUCCGCGGGUGGCCUGCGCCCAAAAGGGCGUUUCGGUUCGGCCCCGGUGGCGCCUUGAAAUCUGCAGCUGGGGGGACGUUGGCCUUAACUGGUCGGCGACCGCACGCCGGCUGCUCGGUUACUGUGAGAAAAUUAGAGUGUUCAAGGCAGGCAUUGGGUGCAAUUGAAUACAUUAGCAUGGAAUAAUAAAAUAUGGCUCCUGCCGUAUUUUGUUGGUUUUGACUGGUGGGGGUAAUGAUUGAUAGGGACGGUUGGGGGUGCUAGUAUUGAGCGGCCAGAGGUGAAAUUCAUGGAUUCGCUCAAGACUAACUUAUGCGAAAGCAUUCACCAAGGACGUCCUCUUUAAUCAAGAACGAAAGUUGGGGGAUCGAAGACGAUCAGAUACCGUCGUAGUCUCAACCAUAAACUAUGUCGACUUGGGAUCGGCGGUAGCUUUUUCAUUAAGACACUGUCGGGACCACGGGAGAAAUCAAAGUGUCUGGACUCUGGGGGAAGUAUGGUCGCAAGGCUGAAACUUGAAGGAAUUGACGGAAGGGCACCACCAGGAGUGGAGCCUGCGGCUUAAUUUGACCCAACACGGGGAAACUUACCAGGUCCAGAGAUGUAGAGGAUUGACAGAUUGAAGCUCUUUCUUGAUCACUUCGGUGGUGGUGCAUGGCCGUUCUUAGUUGGUGGAGUGAUUUGUCUGGUUAAUUCCGUUAACGAACGAGACCUCAGCCUGCUAGUGUAGUCGGCUGGAUUGCCUUUGGCGAUCCGUGAUUUCGACUUCUUAGAGGGACAAUCGACGCGCAGUCGAUGGAAGUUUGAGGCAAUAACAGGUCUGUGA
rnacentral:rRNA from 1 species